rnacentral:rRNA from 1 species
ACACGACUACAUUAGAUACCCGUGUAGUCCUAGCCGUAAACGNUACUCGCUAGGUGUCGGCCACGGUGCGACCGUUGUCGGUGCCGUAGGGAAGCCGUGAAGCGAGCCACCUGGGAAGUACGGCCGCAAGGCUGAAACUUAAAGGAAUUGGCGGGGAGCACCACAACGGGUGGAGCUUGCGGUUUAAUUGGAUUCAACGCCGGAAAUCUUACCGGGACCGACAGCAACAUGAAGGCCAGGCUGAAGACUUUGCCGGAUUAGCUG